CUCCCAUCCCAUCCUUUCAACUAGCCGCUGCCACAACCUUUGGCCUUGCCCUCCAGCAGAUCGUCGACGCGCACAUGCCUCCGUCUUCUUCCCUUCUUUCUUCCUUUGUCCGCGGAGUGCGAGCAGUAAUCGGCGAUCUGGUCCUGCGGAUGGCUACCAUCGAAACCAUGCUUCAGAAAUAGCACAGGCAGCCACGUUCAAGCGCGUACUUAGCGAUCUGUCAUGAGAGAUAGUAGAUGCAGUAAAGUUGGCGGCGAUGUUAGGCUGGACUCACAAGAUUGCGCUAUCAUGAGAGAUAGUAGAUGCAGUCAAGUUGGCGGCGAUGUUAGGCUGGACUCACAAGAUUGCUGAAGGGCAGUGCUUGCACCAGCGGAUGCACAUAUUGCUAUCCAUACAAAGGAGCCCAUCAAUUUCUAGGGCCUCAAGGAGUAUGGCACCCAAACCACUGAAUUCAUUGACUACACGAAACGAGACAUGGACCAUCAAAGUCAAAGUCUCAAAGUCUUACGACUUUAGGACACAAUUAACUUAUCAACUAAUGAACUCAUUAGCACUGAUAAAAUUUUGUGAGAUAAAAAGGUCCAAGUAUUACAUAUAUAAUGUCUCUUCAGUUUUCCUUUUCCAAAGCUUGCUAAUGUUCUCUCUGUGUAGGGCAAUGCAAUCCAUGCUUCUAUUGGGAACAAAUUGUCAAUAAAUUUAAAGCAAAAAAUAAAGAGGACUCCAUCUACAUAAUUAAGACCUUGAAAGUUUGAGAGUAUGAAAACUACCGACCAUUGAAGAACAAUAUCAAAAUCAGUUUUCCUUUUUGAUACAACAGGGAUGGAAGUGGAUAAAGAAAAAUCAAAGUUUUUGGACUAACACUUCGAAUUUUGCUUAUAGUGAUACCUUGGAGAGUAGGGUGAAUACUGAUAAACAGUGCUCAGGUAUGACCAGACUCCAAUA